UACGUAGGGCGCAAGCGUUGUCCGGAAUUAUUGGGCGUAAAGAGCUCGUAGGCGGUUUGUCGCGUCUGCUGUGAAAACUCGAGGCUCAACCUCGGGCUUGCAGUGGGUACGGGCAGACUAGAGUGCGGUAGGGGUGACUGGAAUUCCUGGUGUAGCGGUGGAAUGCGCAGAUAUCAGGAGGAACACCGAUGGCGAAGGCAGCUCGCUGGGACGGUACUGACGCUGAGGCGCGAAAGCGUGGGGAGCGAACAGG
rnacentral:rRNA from 1 species